rnacentral:lncRNA from 1 species
GAUCGAAUGUCACAUAUUUACUACAUAACAGGAGUUCUAUACAAAAUAAAUAAAUAAUUACAUUAUAAGGAGACAACGGUCCAGCAACCCAAAGUUGACUGGGAGACGACGACCUAGACCUCUCAUGAACUCGUCACAGCAUCCUCCAUGCGCCUCAUCUUGUGGUACCUGUUCUUGACCUGUGGGGGGGUGUGAGACAGCAAGAGUGAGCUCACAUACGUUCAUCGCUCAACAAGUUGUGGGGAAUAAUGUGCAUGAACUCGCCAAAGGUGGGAGCUCACGUGAAGUGUAAGGCUUACCAAAGAGGAUGGUUAGAGUUGAGCAUUGCUUUUAAAGUUGGUCAAAAUUUUAUUAGCAGUUACUAAGUAUAAGUAAAUACCAACCCAAUUAAGAAAAGUAAUAACAUCACCUGCGAUGCAAUGCAUAUGACAAAUUGAAUUUAGUUCCAUAAAUUAAUCAUGUGAGGGUCCGAGUUGCUCAUGACCGUGAGCACGGCUAGUAUACCAGUUUUACACUCUGCAGAGGUUGCACAUCUUUACCCACAAGUCAUGUUACCCAUCUGCCAAGGGAUCGCGACUUCCCAUACACCUCUACCGAGGAGGCGAGGCAGGGUAACACUACGAGGCCUUUACAAAGUUCCACUAGCUUCAGAAAACCCGCUACAGUUUAUAGGAAGCUCCAAUGCAGGGUUCUUGCCUGACCGCCAUCGCAGCAAAAUCAACUAAGGACCUCCCUACACUGACCACUCCCCUACUGCCCUUGCCCCUUUCGGGUAAGGUAGUCCUCCACUAGCUUUCCUAAUUAAUCAGCCAAGGGCGUCCAUAAACCCUUGUGGUAGCACUGUUUUCCCGGUGGUCGCUCCAUGUUCCAAUUAACAUAAUGAUCUUAUCAUGGACAGUGAUAAUAAACAGAUAAUAAAAGUGUGAUCAUGAAUAAUGUAUCUUCAUACCCAAAACCAUAUAAAGCACUAGCAAGUACUACCCAAAAAGUUCAGUGGUAAACAAGGUAUAAAGAUAGACAAACUAGGGUAACCUAUUGGGUCCCAUCAAAAUUAACCUAUGCAGAUCAUUAUGAUUAAUCAGAACAUGGCUGGGUAAAAAGAAGUGAUCAAGGGCACAACUUGCCUGGCACUUGAGAUUCUAGUUACCAGGGUGAUUCUUCAAAUCCUCGUGACCGCACUGCUAGUCGUAGCAAUACAAACAGAUAUGGUAUAGAAAAAAUUAACAUCACACCAAUCAUAAGUACAAACUGAAUAAUAAUGAUCUACGCGAUGAUACGAGAUCGUAGAUUCAAGAACCACUAGAUUCGGAGCUACGGUUAUAAAGUUAUGAUUUUCUAAAGGUUUAGGAGUCGGAUACAAAAGAAAUCAAGUGCAUAAUUUUAAUUUAUGUUUCAUAGCAAAAUAAAGUUACCGGUUAUAAACAAUAUUAUUAUGGAUUUAUUGCAACUGGAAUGCAUUAUGUUGGAGUUAAAAUAUAUUAAUUAUGCAUUUACUAAAAAAUUUUUCUAGAUUUAUUUUCACAUUUAAACCAUUUUCUAGGUUUAUCCUAAAAGAAUAUCACAUUCUUGGGCUGCGGGUAAAACUACAGAGAAGUUCAGGACUAAAUUAAUUAAAUCUAGGACCUAAAUGUAUUAAUCUUUACGCCCUACAUGGACAGCGGGUUAGUUUCGCUAUUUUUCAUGGACUCUUGGAAAACCGGCUUGCUGCUAAAAUCACGAGGAUAUUCCAAGCCGUCCGAUUCACAACCAGCGAUCUGGAUUAGAAGACCCACGUGCCGAACAGGUACACAACGCCUGCCUUUGGAUCAUAGAUCGAUGGUCCGAAAUCCAUCGUGAACUACUGUAUUACUAGCCAUCCGAUAUAAAUCCCACGGUGACUGCCCCGCCUUCGACCUCACCACCAACAGCACGCAAACAAAACUCGCACUCCUUCUCUAUCGUCUGCUAAACCUAGAGCGACGGCUGACUCAGCGGCAUCCUGCCCGGCUACGGUACCGCGCCAGCGCUCCAGGCCAUUAGCCUAUGCUCGAAAAGCAGAGGAAGAUAUCCCGCCAGAGGAGAUGCUCACCGCUGAUGAAGCGAACUGGUUGACGACGAUGCGUAGGCCCACGUCGAGGUGCAGGCACAACGGUCACAGCGAGCUCCGGCACCUGUGGCCACCACCGGUGGAGGGAAGAUCCACGCGCCAGAUGCCUGAUCUCGUGCUGGCGCAUGCGCAAGCAGUCUCCCUCGCAAAUUCCCUAGAAGGCGAGCGAUGCGUGGAACUCAGCUCCUACCCGGGCAUCCUUGCGGCAAUGGUGAGGGGCGGUUAUGGGGAGGAGUAGUUUUAUACCCAGAGCUGGGAUCCGAUCGGCUAGCGCCGAGCUGGCACAUGGGAAAGAUUUGUUCCAAGUUUGUUGCGAUGAAACUGGAAUGGAUAUCUACUGAGGCGGCGCUAGGAUCUCCUCUACGGUCGGCCAUACGGUUGCCAUACCAGAAGGGCCCAACUGCUAGUGAGUACGGGGUUUCACAACUGACCUCAUCCCUGACGCCACGAUGACGUCAGCACGACGGAAAUGAAUAAAGAAUGCGGUGUACGUGGGUGGUUCUGCGUGAGUGAGGUGACCGACGUGACUCUGGCUUAGACUACGGUUAUCGCUAAUUAUCAUUUAAAUAUUCCUAAGGUUUUAGCUUUUGAUUUAAAUUUUCUUUUCUAGUUUGGGUUCACGCCAUUUAAUGCAACAGUCAAAAAGUCUCGGCAUGUGCUACCCAUUUGAUUCAUAGUUUAUGUAAUUACUACUUAUUUUAAUUGAGUACGGAUCUUAUGGUUAUUCGUAGAAUAAAUGUCGAGUCACAUAACAAAUUACCCAACUUAUGAAUCUGCUACGCUCACAAAAUGAAAAUUACUCUUUUGAAUGUAUAGUACAUUUAAAGUUUGGUUCAUAUUUAUCCAAAGAGGGGACUGUGCAGUGUAUAAUUGUUACCAAGGUAUCUUUUUAACUUAAUUCUUUUGGGGAAAUAUUUCUAACCAUAUGAUUCAACAAAGGUGGGUUUUAAUCAUAUAGGAUCGUUUAUUUAAUCUCUUAUUAUAAAAGACUUUAUUCAAACCUGGGAAUACAAAUUCCUAAAUCUCAAUGUAGGAUUUUGGGCUUUACAAAUCCUACCCCCCUUAAAAAUAAUCUCGUCCUCGAGAUUUGUAAGAAAAGAGAUGCAGAAGGAUUGGUUUGUAAUUCAGCUUUUAGUCUAUCGUCAUUCCAAAAGUCGAGAGUCUCAAAAAAAUUCUUUGUGGGUGAUUAGAAGAGCAUAGGUAUAUGUAGGUAUAGCCACGUUAUUAUAUAGGCUAAAAGAGGGGUAGUUUAGAGCAAGAAUAGCCUCAGGUAAGAAAGUUUAUGGUGGGAAAGAACUCCGUGUUGAGUGGUAAGGCAUCUGAAGAUUGAGUUUGACUUCUCUCCUUCCUUGACGAGGUUGAUCUUGUCCUUUUUUUCUUGGUCUCAUUGAUUCGAGGUUAGUGUACAUCAUCAGAGUUACCGGAGUAUGGUUGAAGAUAGAUAUGGGUGAGAUGGACUACAUGAUGUAGGUUAAAGUUUGUUUGAUGUUAGGUGGGGAUAGACAGAUUAUGCAAUUCUUCAUGACUCUAUUGGUUGGGUAAGUUAUGUAACUUGUUAUAUAGGUCAAGUUGUUGUGUAUGGCCAAGUCGAUCUAAGUCACCAAUUUAGGCUUAAGUGAAUUAGGAGUAUGGCCAUAUCCUUUGUACUAGCAUUAAGUAACUUACUCUAGAUUAGAUCAUGAUAGAUUAGAUAGAAUCCAGAUUAGGUUGGUACAACUAGAUUAAACUAGUUAUGAUCUCAUUAUUUUGGAUUAGGUCCUGGUGGUUACUUUAGGAUCAGAUAAAUAUAGUGGUUAGGAUAAAACGAAUCUUUCAUGAUGAGAUGAAUUCAUUAAGAUAAGAGAGAAUCUUUUAAGAUAAGAUGGAUCUACUAAAAUAUGAUAGAUCUUUUUAAGAUGAGAUGGAUAUUGUUAGGCUAGAUACUUUAUUGAGGGAUAAUCUAGUUUGUCUAGUUAGUUUUAUAAGCAUUAUGUAUAUGCAGAUGUAAUUGUGGAUAUUACUCCACAACUCAUCACACUCAAUCAAAGAUCCAAAUCAGACAUGUAUCAUAAGAACAAAACAUUCAAAUUCAUAGAUAUCUAUAAAAAUAGUUUUAUUUUUGUUCCUAAGAGUAGGUCUCCUAUUCCAAAAAUUCACUUUAACCACAGGAUUCCAAAGUGUGAAAUCCAAGUUUGUCUUUAGAAGUGAAAAGGUAAGAAUAAUCAGAGUAAAGCGGAAAUAGAUGAGAAAAGAUUAAGAAAAGUUUAGAAAAGAAUCAGAGUAGCAAAGGUAAGUAGACAAUGGUUGUCCAGUUCUAUCUAGGUUUCGUCCUACAGUCAACAUUCCUCUGAUACCACUUCUGUCACACCCGGGUUUUAGGGCACCAAGACCCGGGCGCGAACAUAAUCACCAGGUGCGCUGGGACCAAGUCUCACACAUAUGAUGAAUCAUGGCACAGGAUCGAAUGUCACAUAUUUACUACAUAACAGGAGUUCUAUACAAAAUAAAUAAAUAAUUACAUUAUAAGGAGACAACGGUCCAGCAACCCAAAGUUGACUGGGAGACGACGACCUAGACCUCUCAUGAACUCGUCACAGCAUCCUCCAUGCGCCUCAUCUUGUGGUACCUGUUCUUGACCUGUGGGGGGGUGUGAGACAGCAAGAGUGAGCUCACAUACGUUCAUCGCUCAACAAGUUGUGGGGAAUAAUGUGCAUGAACUCGCCAAAGGUGGGAGCUCACGUGAAGUGUAAGGCUUACCAAAGAGGAUGGUUAGAGUUGAGCAUUGCUUUUAAAGUUGGUCAAAAUUUUAUUAGCAGUUACUAAGUAUAAGUAAAUACCAACCCAAUUAAGAAAAGUAAUAACAUCACCUGCGAUGCAAUGCAUAUGACAAAUUGAAUUUAGUUCCAUAAAUUAAUCAUGUGAGGGUCCGAGCUGCUCAUGACCGUGAGCACGGCUAGUAUACCAGUUUUACACUCUGCAGAGGUUGCACAUCUUUACCCACAAGUCAUGUUACCCAUCUGCCAAGGGAUCGCGACUUCCCAUACACCUCUACCGAGGAGGCGAGGCAGGGUAACACUACGAGGCCUUUACAAAGUUCCACUAGCUUUAGAAAACCCGCUACAGUUUAUAGGAAGCUCCAAUGCAGGGUUCUUGCCUGACCGCCAUCGCAGCAAAAUCAACCAAGGACCUCCCUACACUGACCACUCCCCUACUGCCCUUGCCCCUUUCGGGUAAGGUAGUCCUCCACUAGCUUUCCUAAUUAAUCAGCCAAGGGCGUCCAUAAACCCUUGUGGUAGCACUGUUUUCCCGGGUGGUCGCUCCAUGUUCCAAUUAACAUAAUGAUCUUAUCAUGGACAGUGAUAAUAAAUAGAUAAUAAAAGUGUGAUCAUGAAUAAUGUAUCUUCAUACCCAAAACAAUAUAAAGCACUAGCAAGUACUACCCAAAAAGUUCAGUGGUAAACAAGGUAUAAAGAUAGACAAACUAGGGUAACCUAUUGGGUCCCAUCAAAAUUAACCUAUGCAGAUCAUUAUGAUUAAUCAGAACAUGGCUGGGUAAAAAGAAGUGAUCAAGGGCACAACUUGCCUGGCACUUGAGAUUCCAGUUACCAGGGUGAUUCUUCAAAUCCUCGUGACCGCACUGCUAGUCGUAGCAAUACAAACAGAUAUGGUAUAGAAAAAAUUAACAUCACACCAAUCAUAAGUACAAACUGAAUAAUAAUGAUCUACGCGAUGAUACGAGAUCGUAGAUUCAAGAACCACUAGAUUCGGAGCUACGGUUAUAAAGUUAUGAUUUUCUAAAUGUUUAGGAGUCGGAUACAAAAGAAAUCAAGUGCAUAAUUUUAAUUUAUGUUUCAUAGCAAAAUAAAGUUACCGGUUAUAAACAAUAUUAUUAUGGAUUUAUUGCAACUGGAAUGCAUUAUGUUGGAGUUAAAAUAUAUUAAUUAUGCAUUUACUAAAAUUUUUUUCUAGAUUUAUUUUCACAUUUAAACCAUUUUCUAGGUUUAUCCUAAAAGAAUAUCACAUUCUUGGGCUGCGGGUAAAACUACAGAGAAGUUCAGGACUAAAUUAAUUAAAUCUAGGACCUAAAUGUAUUAAUCUUUACGCCCUACAUGGACAGCGGGUUAGUUUCGCUAUUUUUCAUGGACUCUUGGAAAACCGGCUUGCUGCUAAAAUCACGAGGAUAUUCCAAGCCGUCCGAUUCACAACCAGCGAUCCGGAUUAGAAGACCCACGUGCCGAACUGGUACACAACGCCUGCCUUUGGAUCAUAGAUCGAUGGUCCGAAAUCCAUCGUGAACUACUGUAUUACUAGCCAUCCGAUAUAAAUCCCACGGUGACUGCCCCGCCUUCGACCUCACCACCAACAGCACGCAAACAAAACUCGCACUCCUUCUCUAUCGUCUGCUAAACCCAGAGCGACGGCUGACCCAGCGGCAUCCUGCCCGGCUACGGUACCGCGCCAGCGCUCCAGGCCAUUAGCCUAUGCUCGAAAAGCAGAGGAAGAUAUCCCGCCAGAGGAGAUGCUCACCGCUGAUGAAGCGAACUGGUUGACGACGAUGCGUAGGCCCACGUCGAGGUGCAGGCACAACGGUCACAGCGAGCUCCGGCACCUGUGGCCACCACCGGUGGAGGGAAGAUCCACGCGCCAGAUGCCUGAUCUCGUGCUGGCGCAUGCGCAAGCAGUCUCCCUCGCAAAUUCCCUAGAAGGCGAGCGAUGCGUGGAACUCAGCUCCUACCCGG